AUCAAAGUGGCGCGUGUGUUCUACUUCGAAUAUUCGACAAGCAAACAUUGCAAUCUUUCUGUUGGAGAUGCAAAUGUUUCAUACUGUGUUGCUCCGCUGAU